GCCUCAGUGGCCAAGUGGUAAGGCGUCGAUAUCGUAAACCGAAGAUCAUGGGUUCAACCCCCAUCUAAGGCU
rnacentral:tRNA from 1 species